UACGGAGGGAGCUAGCGUUGUUCGGAAUUACUGGGCGUAAAGCGCGCGUAGGCGGCUUUGUAAGUUAGAGGUGAAAGCCCGGAGCUCAACUCCGGAACUGCCUUUAAAACUGCAUCGCUUGAAUCCAGGAGAGGUGAGUGGAAUUCCGAGUGUAGAGGUGAAAUUCGUAGAUAUUCGGAAGAACACCAGUGGCGAAGGCGGCUCACUGGCCCGGUACUGACGCUGAGGUGCGAAAGCGUGGGGAGCAAGCAGG
rnacentral:rRNA from 1 species